GAUGAAGAACGCAGCGAAAUGCGAUACGUAAUGUGAAUUGCAAAUUCAGUGAAUCAUCGAGUCUUUGAACGCACAUUGCGCCCCUUGGUAUCCCGAGGGGCAUGCCUGUUCGAGCGUCAUUUCACCACUCAAGCCUGGCUUGGUGUUGGGCGACGUCCUCUUUGGGGACGCGCCUCGAAACGCUCGGCGGCGUGGCACCGGCUUUAAGCGUAGCAGAAUCUUUCGCUUUGGAAGUCGGGGCCCCGUCUGCCGGAAGACCUGCUCGCAAGGUUGACCUCGGAUCAGGCAGGGAUACCCGCUGAACUUAAGCAUAUCAAUAAGCGGAGGA
rnacentral:misc_RNA from 1 species